ensembl:lncRNA
AUCUGACUCCUGUCAUUAAGUUCCCUGUACACUAACAGGUCUCCCCUGCUGGCUCAGGCAGUAAAGAAUCUGCCUGCCAAGAAGGAGAUGCAGGUUUGAUCCCUGGGUUGGGAAGAUGCCCUGGGGAAGGGAACGGCAACCCACUCCAGUAAUCUUGCCCAGAGAUUCCCAUAGAGAGAGGAGCCUGGCAGGUUACAGUCCACGGGGUCGCAAAGAGUCAGACAUGACUGAACAACUAACACACUAAAUAACAUGGUGAAGAUAAAGGGAUUUUAUGGAUGUAAUUCAGGUCCCUAAACAGCUGACUUUGAGGUCAUGAAAAGUAAGAUUGCCCUGGGUGGGCCUGACCUAAGCAGGGGAGCCCUUUCACAGAGGACUUCCUGACAAGGGGGAUUUGGAGCAGAGGCUGUCCUAUUGGCCACGCAGAGCCCUGGAGUCAGGGGGCAGCCUCUGUGGCAGGGAGGGGGCCUGCAGGGGCUUGAGAGUUGCAUCCAGACGGUCCCAGGGCCUGACAGCCAUCCGUACCGGAGAGCUCGGAGGAGACCCCAGAUUCCAGCCAGAGGAGGCCCUGCAGCUGCCCUGCUCCUUGAACCUGGACUCCUGACCACGGGACCUGCAUACACUCCAGGGGAUGCUGACGGGACCUCACAGGGUAUCGCCCUGCUUGGAACUAGGAUUUGGGUUUUGUACCAUCCCACGAGCCACCACUGUGAGUCUCAGAGAGAAGAAAUCAUCUACAGAGACCUUUUUUCUAGCAGACAGCUCCUCUUGUUGUGUAACAGUUUGGAACAGCAAUGGAUUGCACCCACACAUCCUCGUUUCUUCUUGCGAUCACCCUGCAGUGCUGGCCGUGACCUUUGCCAUUCAGCAACUCCUGGAAGGGCACUUUGGAGAAUAUUUGUCAACCAUGUAUUUCAAAAUGGGACCCUACAAAGUCCUACUUAAACAAGUUUAAAUUAAACAGAACUAAAAUUAAAGAGAUUUAGUUAAUACUUUUUUUCUUUGGGGGUCUUUAAUCUGCCUGCACAUGUCAUGAAUUGUCCAGGGUAUGUAUGACCAUAUAUAAUGUUUUCCAGUCAUAUUGGAGACCAUCAUUCCCCUCCCCACCUCCCUCCCCACUGUGCUUCCUACCAUUUCUGAAAAAGAGUAUAGCACAGAGUUUGG